rnacentral:tRNA from 1 species
ACCCAAAUAGCUCAGUUGGGAGAGCGCUAGACUAUAGAUCGAAAAGUCCCUGGUUCGAUCCGGGGUCCGGCAA